rnacentral:lncRNA from 1 species
CGUAAUAGCUACGCAGCAAGCGCUUGCAAGGAUCCUACCCUUUGUUCAAUGUCUUCCCUUGGUCCUUGAGAGAAGGUUAUUGUGCAGUAAUUACACACCUUGUUAUACUGUGUUGCAUUAGUACUGUGCGCUCCUGUCUCCUACUUAUGAGAGAAGAUGUGAAACAGAGCCAAUAGCAAGUAAUGAGACCUCCAGUGGGAAGCAGCGAUUGUAAUUAACGGAAUUACAGUAAUGAAAAAAGUAUAGAGAUCAUGAUGUCUCAACUAAAAUCCAAGAGAAGUGGGUAAUUGCAAGGAGAACCGGCAUUCUAGUGUCACCUUACCUGGGACAGGGACCACAAAGCAAUGAGAAGAAGACUUGUACUAACCCUUCUUUUAAGAAAUUGUGAGGUGGCCCUGCUCGGAGGAAUCUGACGCCAAGGGUUUGCUCGACGGAUCCGAAAUUGGCAGAAGGAUGUGACACACCCGGACACUGCCAAGGCCCCAGUGGCAGUUCUGCCUCCAUCCACCCACCCAGGUAGGCCAGGGGCUGUCUCUGGUUCCAGUUCAGUGGGACCCAACACACCCGGACUCUGCCAAGGCCCCGGUGGCAGUACUGACAAGAGAACAGAUCUCAAGAGUAUUGGGUCUGUUUGCAUCUACCAGAAGGGAACUUUGGUCCCAUACCCACUAGGAGAGGAAGAGACUCCUGCUACACCCACCAGAAGAAAGGAAGAGAAGAGGUCACUGUAAAAGCACAUCCAACAACAGAAAACCCAACAUGACGCCACCAGAGACUAGGAACCAUACAUCAGCAAGACCUGAACAUCACAAUGCAGAUGAAACAGAUGAGAAUGACCUUAAAAGCAUCUUCAUGAAAAUGAUAGAGGACCUCAAAGAGGACAUGAGAAAAUCCCUUAAAGAAAUGGAAGAAAAAACUAACCAAAAAAUACAAGAUAUCAACAAAUCUCUCAAGGAAAUGGUUCAAGACCUAAAAACUGAAAUAGAGACAAUAAAGAAAGCACAAUCUGAGAAAAUGCUGGAAAUAGAAAGCUGGGUAAAUGAUCAGGAACUACAGAUGGAAGCAUAACCAACAGAAUACAAGAGAUGGAAGAGAGAAUCUCAGGAGUUGAAGACACACUAGUGGAAAUAAAAUCAUCAACCAAAGAAAAUCUUAAGUCCAACAAAUCCCUGACACAAAACAUCCAUGAAAUAUGGGAUACUGUGAAAAGACCAAACUUAAGAAUAAUAGGUAUAGAAGAAGGUGAAGAAAUUCAGCUCAAAG